AACGAACGCUGGCGGCAGGCUUAACACAUGCAAGUCGAGCGCCCCGCAAGGGGAGCGGCCGACGGGUGAGUAACGCGUGGGAAUCUACCCAUCUCUACGGAGUAACGCAUGGAAACGUGUGCUAAUACCGUAUACGUCCUUCGGGAGAAAGAUUUAUCGGAGAUGGAUGAGCCCGCGUUGGAUUAGCUAGUUGGUGGGGUAAAGGCCUACCAAGGCGACGAUCCAUUGCUGGUCUGAGAGGAUGAUCAGCCACGCUGGGACUGAGACACGGCCCAGACUCCUACGGGAGGUAGCAGUGGGGAAUAUUGGACAAUGGGCGCAAGCCUGAUCCAGCCAUGCCGCGUGAGUGAUGAAGGCCCUAGGGUUGUAAAGCUCUUUCACCGGUGAAGAUAAUGGCGGUAACCGGAGAAGAAGCCCCGGCUAACUUCGUGCCAGCCGCCGCCGUAAGAC
rnacentral:rRNA from 1 species